GUAAAUAAAAAUUAUGAAAACAAAAAACUAUGGCGGUAUCCUAAGCUUUUCAGAGGAAUUUGCUCUUUAAUGGAUAAAACACCUUUACCUUACUAAAAUUAGUUAAAUCAGUUUGUAUACCACUAUACAAGUGAUAAUUUAGAAUUAUUACUAUAAUUUUUAUAUAAAAGAAAAUUAAGUCAUGGUGCAACAUAAGUUUUAGAAUGAAGUGAAUUACAUUACUUGACAGAGAAGAUAAAUUAAAUAUUAAAUUUAGAAUUUGAAAGUAAAAAUUUAAUAGAAUGAGAUUUUGAAUUAAGCUCUGGGGUAUGUAC
rnacentral:rRNA from 1 species